CCUACGGGAUGCAGCAGUGGGGAAUAUUGCACAAUGGGGGAAACCCUGAUGCAGCAACGCCGCGUGAGUGAAGAAGUAUUUCGGUAUGUAAAGCUCUAUCAGCAGGGAAGAAGAUGAUGGUACCUGAUUAAGAAGCCCCGGCUAACUACGUGCCAGCAGCCGCGGUAAUACGGAGGGGGCAAGCGUUAUCCGGAUUUACUGGGUGUAAAGGGAGCGUAGACGGCAGUGCAAGUCUGUAGUGAAAGCCCGGGGCCCAACCACGGAAUUGCUUUGGAAACUGUGCGGCUAGAGUACUGUAGGGGCAGGCGGAAUGCGUGGUGUAGCGGUGAAAUGCGUAGAUAUUAGGAGGAACACCAGUGGCGAAGGCGGCCUGCUAGACAGUAACUGACGUUGAGGCUCGAAAGCGUGGGGAGCAAACAGGAUUAGAUACCCUGGUAGUC
rnacentral:rRNA from 1 species